UUCAGGCAUUUCAUUUGAAUUGAAUACUUUAAAUUUGUGUUUCAUCCAGACUUUUAUUUUGACGUUGUAUUUUCGAGCUGCACAGGAAGCAGGAAGGAAAAUAGUUUAGAUCACGUUAGAAUGCGCGCGUAGAAAACGUUGGAAACGGCAGGUUGUUUGGGAGUGCAGACGGUCACUACCCCAGAGAAAGGCUUCUUGCAUGUUGGUUCCCCAGCAGAGGCAUCGCUUUUUCACUCUCUUUCAUCUUUUGAUCUCUUGAUCUUAUCUACAUGGAUUCAAUACAAUGUGAAGAAUGAAAAUAAAUCUACAAACAAGAA